rnacentral:lncRNA from 1 species
UAAUGAGCAGCUAGUAGUCUCAUUUAGGGACAUUCACCUGCCUGGGCACAGUGGAGAUGAUUAGAUGAGAACCGGCCCUUUCAGGUUAGUACCCAAGGAUCCACUUUCUAAAAGGAGAGUGCCUGCACAGAUUAAUUUUUGAGCCAAGCUGGUCUUGCAAGGCUGGGUCUCUUCCCUCACUCUGCUCUUACUGCAUCCUCCACUGCAAAGCACCAGGCCGGGACGAGCAGAGGCAGACAUUGAAGCAAGAGUUUCUGGGAGGUGCUCUGUAGCUCCAUUAUCAUGACUGCUGUUUGAACGCUGUACUGUAGAAGGCACAGACUGAGAUGCUGGAUCAACUGCGCAUGCCUGUCUUUGUGACCGGCUGCUAUCGAUCCUUCCGAGCCCGUGUGCCACGCUGGAAAGCUGCAUCUAAGAGUUAAGAUUUACUGGCUUAAAAGCGUGUGUGUCGUGGGAUUGCGCGGUGGCUCAGUAAGAACUGACAUCCUAGCAGGCUCCUGGGCGAUGCAGAUGCUGGCAUUCUGGGCACUGCCCUUUGGAAAGCUAUGAUGACCACUGAAGCAGAACAGACCAAAGCAAAGAGGUGGGAAAGUCGCGAGAAGAUACAGGACUGGCUGGGAUACAUCAGGAAGAGGAGCUGCGAUGGAUGGGACUUCAAAUGGAAGUUGGUGAUUAUAUCCGUCCCAGCACCUCCCGCCUUGCAAGAGAGGCCUUAUAAAUCCUGGUCACAAGGAAGGGAAACAGAAGCUCAAGGAAGAGAGAGCCAUGGCUUCCUAGGUGUCAGUGAAGACCCAGACGCUGAAACUAUAACCGCCUAGUUCAGAAACCUAUACUUUGCUUGACCACAAUCCAAGCAGGGGGUGGGGAUGGGAUGUUUUUCUGCAGGGCUGGACAUAGAGUCAGUGUUCAGAGCACAUUGUUGGAGAGAGGAAGGAUGGGUGAGUGAAUAAGUGAAGAAAUGAAUGAGAGAACAGAACCACUUUGAGAGCCUGGAAACCGGGACCUCACGCUCUGUGACCUCACGCUCCAACUUCCCCUCCUCCCCGAGUCUGAUCUGAAAGGUGACCCCCGUUCCUCUCGCCCAGGUGAUAAAGCCAGGUGCAGGUGCACCUGUUACCCAAACCUGAUAUCCAAAUAGGAAGUAAGGCUGAGAUAAGGCUGUGGAGGGCAGUGCCUGGAAUCACGGGGUUGGGCUGGCCAUUGGCUUGAUGCCACAAGUGUCCACCGAGCCUCUCCUAAAGGUUGAGCUCUAUGCCAGGUUCCUUCAGGGUGAGGCAGGAAGCCACGCAGCUCCUGACCUCCAACAGCUUAUGGAAAAAAAAAAUACUUACAAACAGGAUGUGGGUCGGGCAAAGGGAGAAGUGUGAAGCAGGUGGCCAUUGCUCCCUGACAGCUCCAACAGGGAGUUGGGACUGAGAGAUGAGAAGAAAUGAGGCAGUAGUUAGUGAUGCCAGGGGAGGGGCCUGACCCUUGCACUGCCAUUGCUGAGGAAUAAGAGGUCCUUAAAGUUUAGCUCCUCAGACCCAGACCCCUCCCCAGUCCUCCUAC